rnacentral:lncRNA from 1 species
AUAAGAAACUAAAGAGAAAAUUUUAUUGCAUUUAACUAGAAAUAUUCUUCAGGCACAAGAGUUCAAAUUGAAAGUAAAAACAAGGGAAAGCAAGAAAAUUCUAAGUUAAGUUUGAAAGACUCUGAAGUUCAACAAUUUCAAAUUGAAAGUAAAAGCAAGGGAAAGCAAGAGUUAUACUGGUCAUUUUCAUAAGUUUGUUCACAUCCCUGAAAGUAGCUUGAGGAUUUUUUCGAGGCGGCAAUCUCUUCAUUUUUCUCUGCAACCACCUCCGUUAGGCUACCAAUCAUAUUGGACCAUUCCAAUAGAUCAUAAAGAGUUCAGUUAAUCGUUGGCCAUGUUCAGAGCAUGAUCAAAGAUGGUAUAAGCCUGAUCAAAGAUGGCAUCAGCAUGAUCAAAGAUGGCAUCUUGAGCAAUAGCUUGGUAUUGUUCAACACCACGAUAAAACUCUAAUAUGUUUAAAAACAUGGAAUUGAUCAUCUCUAAGAUCCAAGCCAUCAAAGCGCUCAAAAAAUUUCCUGUCCUUUGAAAUCGAUCAUGGAUAUCGUGAUAUUUAAACAGGUGACUCCUAUUCCUUUCAGGAUAAAAGGUUUAGAGGAAGGUCUAAUGUUCGGGGAUAAACUGUAAAGGGAUUGUCUGGAUAAGGAUUAAGAUUAACC